AGUUGAAUUUCGGGAUUGACACAUCGGUCGUGCCUUAAGGGGUAUGAACUGGUGUAGUCAGUUUCUCACCUUCUGGAGAACCGCGAUGUCCUUAAUUGGGUGCCGCGAGGAACCAAGACCUUUACUUUGAAAAAUUAGAGUGUUCAAAGCAGGCCUUUGCUCGAAUACAUUAGCAUGGAAUAAUAGAAUAGGACGUGUGGUUCUAUUUUGUUGGUUUCUAGGACCGCCGUAAUGAUUAAUAGGGAUAUCGGGGGCAUCAGUAUUCAAUCGUCAGAGGUGAAAUUCUUGGAUUGAGUGAAGACUAACUACUGCGAAAGCAUUUGCCAAGGAUGUUUUCAUUAAUCAGUGAACGAAAGUUAGGGGAUCGAAGACGAUCAGAUACCGUCGUAGUCUUAACCAUAAACUAUGCCGACUAGGGAUCGGACGGUGUUAGUAUUUUGACCCGUUCGGCGCCUUACGGGAAAC
rnacentral:rRNA from 2 species